rnacentral:rRNA from 1 species
UGGAGGAAAGCAGGGGAUCGUAAGACCUUGCGCUUUUGGAGCGGCCGAUGCCUGAUUAGCUAGUUGGUGGGGUAAAGGCUUACCAAGGCAACGAUCAGUAAUUGGUCUGAGAGGACGACCAGCCACACUGGGACUGAGACACGGCCCAGACUCCUACGGGAGGCAGCAGUGGGGAAUUUUGGGCAAUGGGCGAAAGCCUGAUCCAGCAAUGCCGCGUGAGUGAAGAAGGCCUUCGGGUUGUAAAGCUCUUUCAGUCGAGAAGAAAAGAUUGUGAUGAAUAAUCACAGUUCAUGACGGUAUCGACGGAAGAAGCACCGGCUAACUACGUGCCAGCAGCCGCGGUAAUACGUAGGGUGCAAGCGUUAAUCGGAAUUACUGGGCGUAAAGGGUGCGCAGGCGGCUUUGUACGUCAGAUGUGA